rnacentral:rRNA from 1 species
GUAACGCGUGGAUAACCUGCCCUUUAGACCGGGAUAACGCCGGGAAACCGGUGCUAAUACCGGAUACGUUCAGCAGCCUGCAUGGGCAGCUGAAGAAAGGUUUGUUCCGCUAAAGGAUGGGUCCGCGUCCCAUUAGCUAGUUGGUAGGGUAACGGCCUACCAAGGCGACGAUGGGUAGCCGGCCUGAGAGGGCGACCGGCCACACUGGAACUGAGACACGGUCCAGACUCCCACGGGAGGCAGCAGUGGGGAAUCUUCCGCAAUGGGCGCAAGCCUGACGGAGCAACGCCGCGUGAGUGACGAAGGUCUUCGGAUUGUAAAACUCUGUCCAGAGGGAAGAAGUAAGUGACGGUACCUCUGGAGGAAGCCCCGGCUAACUACGUGCCAGCAGCCGCGGUAAAACGUAGGGGGCGAGCGUUGUCCGGAAUUACUGGGCGUAAAGGGCGUGUAGGCGGCUUGGUAAGUCAGUCGUGAAACCUACCGGCUCAACCGGUAGCUGGCGAUUGAAACUGCCGGGCUUGAGUGCAGUAGAGGGGAGUGGAAUUCCCAGUGUAGCGGUGAAAUGCGUAGAUAUUGGGAGGAACACCAGUGGCGAAAGCGGCUCCCUGGCCUGUAACUGACGCUGAGGCGCGAAAGCGUGGGUAGCAAACAGGAUUAGAUACCCUGGUAGUCCACGCCGUAAACGAUGGGUGCUAGGUGUUGGGGGUAUCGACCCCUCCAGUGCCGCAGUUAACGCAAUAAGCACCCCGCCUGGGGAGUACGGCCGCAAGGCUGAAACUCAAAGGAAUUGACGGGGGCCCGCACAAGCGGUGGAGUAUGUGGUUUAAUUCGACGCAACGCGAAGAACCUUACCAGGUCUUGACAUCCCCUGCCCGCUGUGGAAACACAGUUUUUCAUCUUCGGAUGAACAGGGAGACAGGUGGUGCGUGGUUGUCGUCAGCUCGUGUCGUGAGAUGUUGGGUUAAGUCCCGCAACGAGCGCAACCCCUACCUUUAGUUGCCAGCAAGUAAGGUUGGGCACUCUAAAGGGACUGCCGUUGACAAAACGGAGGAAGG